UAAUUUUAAGAUUAAAAAGUCAAAGUUAUGCUAUCUGUUACUAUAUCUUCAUUGCGAACUGUACCUUACAUACAUACUUAGACUGUACCUUUGGGAAAUCUGCAUGUCCCUUUUUAAUUUCUGAACUUAGGAAAUUAAGUCUACAAUUUUGCUGAGCGAGCUGCACAUUCACCUUUUCUUAAUUACAUAUCUUUCAAGUAACUUCCUUACGAACUGUCUAUGGCAGAUUAUAUGCCUACCAUGGUCAUAAAAGGCCACGGGGAAUCAGGAUACGAUUAUGGAAAGGGAACUCGAGAAAUGGCAACCAUAUCCAAGAAAGCUAGCAGGCACAAAUUACCCACUCCCUGAAUAGAAAGGUGUUGACAAAAAAUAGCAAUAAUGGACUAUUUCGAGACCCUAUAACAGGAAUGAGUACACACAAAAUCUUUAAACAAGGAUCAACUGGAGUAUAAGAUCUAGUGUCAGCACCUGUGGUAAUUCCAGCUCCAAU
rnacentral:ncRNA from 1 species